GGAGAGGUGGCAGAGUGGUCGAAUGCGGCGGUCUCGAAAACCGUUGUCCGCUUUACAGUGGACCGGGGGUUCGAAUCCCCCCCUCUCCG
rnacentral:tRNA from 1 species